rnacentral:rRNA from 1 species
UACAGAGGUCCCGAGCGUUGUUCGGAUUCACUGGGCGUAAAGGGUGCGUAGGUGGCCUAAAAAGUUUGAUGUGAAAGCUCAGGGCUUAACCCUGAAAUGGCAUUGAAUACUGUUGGGCUGGAGGUUUGGAGGGGGGACUGGAAUUCUUGGUGUAGCAGUGAAAUGCGUAGAUAUCAAGAGGAACACCAGUGGCGAAGGCGAGUCCCUGGACAACACCUGACACUGAGGCACGAAAGCCGGGGGAGCAAACGGG